UGAUCUACCAUGAAGGAAAUCUGUGGAAACACAGUCUGUGACGAGAGCCCAUGAAUAAUUUCCACGUGCUCCUGCCAGUCUUUUAAGCUGCGCGUCCUUGAGUCACAGAGACAUGGCUGGGCAGCUGAAAGUGUCACCGAGUAUUCCGUGGACACCACAGUUCACUCAAGUGUUAACUGCUCACAAGGAUACACAGCCAGCCUCCCCCAAACAUGAGGCGAUCCAACUGUGUUCUUCCCAUGAGAAGCCAAAGGCAUCUCUCCCCAAGCACAAAGUAGUAAAGAGCCCUGGAUGCCUGGUUCCUAUUCCUGGGAGCGUAUGCAAUUACUCUGUCACCCUGGUCAAUCCCCGCAGGAGCCGACCAUGCGAGCCCAUUAAGAGAACAGUUCAGUCCCACCUGCCUCCUGGAGCCAGCCAACAAUCUCAGCUUCAGCACUCCAUGCUUGAUUAUGUACAGCCAUUGCAAUCCUGA
rnacentral:lncRNA from 1 species